rnacentral:misc_RNA from 1 species
GGAAUAAAAGUCGUAACAAGGUUUCCGUAGGUGAACCUGCGGAAGGAUCAUUAUUGUAUAACCGAGGUGCGAGGGCUGUCGCUGACCCGAAAGGUCGUGCACGCCCGAGUGCCCUCACACACAUCCAUCUCACCCCUAUGUGCACCACCGCGUGGGUCCCCCUUUGGCUUGUUCGGAGGGGGGCUUGCGUUUUCACACAAACUUUGUAUGCAGUGUAGAAUGUAUUUUUUGUUUUUGCGAUCACGCAAUCAAUACAACUUUCAACAACGGAUCUCUUGGCUCUC